CAUUAAUAUCUGAGCACC
rnacentral:snRNA from 1 species